UUUUUCUGAAAAAAACAAAGACACACUUGAAUGAAUCCCAAUCCAAUUCAAACUUUCCCGCAUGACAACAAUAAUAAGUACCUUACAACAACUCAAAUUUAGGGCAGACAUUUGCCAUGUUCCACCAUUAGGGAAGACAAGUUGCUAAUUCGAACCUUAGACACAGAGUCAGUUCAGACAACGGCAGACAAGGAGUUCCCGGGGAAAAAAGAUUGGCAAAAUAAGAGGCAACAAAAGGUUCGGUACACGGUUAUCAUUGCGAUUUAGGAUAACAUCUCGACAUCUUUUGAUAGAGGAAUUGUGGCUGUAUCGUCUCAGACUUCUAAAGCAUGGUAUGAAGCUGACCCGAGCGCAUCAGUCACUGGAUCUGAA
rnacentral:lncRNA from 1 species